AGAUGAACGCUGGCGGCGUGCUUAACACAUGCAAGUCGAACGCGAAAGGGACUUCGGUCCUGAGUAAAGUGGCGCACGGGUGAGUAACGCGUGGAUAAUCUAGCCCUUAUGAUCGGGAUAACAGUUGGAAACGGCUGCUAAUACCGGAUACGCUCAAAAUGAACUUUUUUGAGGAAGGAUGGCCUCUGCUUGCAUGCUAUCACGUAAGGAUGAGUCCGCGUCCCAUUAGCUUGUUGGCGGGGUAACGGCCCACCAAGGCAACGAUGGGUAGCCGAUUUGAGAGGAUGAUCGGCCACACUGGAACUGAAACACGGUCCAGACUCCUACGGGAGGCAGCAGUGGGGAAUAUUGCGCAAUGGGCGAAAGCCUGACGCAGCGACGCCGCGUGAGGGGAAUGAAGGUUUUCGGAUCGUAAACCUCUGUCAGAAGGGAAGAAACUACGUUGUGCUAAUCAGCAGCGUACUGACGGUACCUUCAAAGGAAGCACCGGCUAACUCCGUGCCAGCCGCGGC
rnacentral:rRNA from 1 species